CUGUUCUUCUCCUGAGGCAGUCAAAACCCUAGAGGAGGCACGACACAGGCACAGGCGCCCCUUAGCCGUGCGGCGGCCUGGCCCUCAGGUGUGGCGGCUCGGCCUUCCAGUCCUGGCCGGCCAGCGGCAGGCCGCACGAAGGAGCAGCCAGCCCCUUCCGUCCUGCAGGCGGCAUGAAGGUCUCCUGCCUUCUUUAGGUUUUGGUGUUUAGUUUUUGAGAGGUUAAAAAAAUCUGAACUUUGAGUAUGUGUAUUCGUUGAGAUUUGAGAUGGGAAAGAAGGGCCGAAUCCUUCUCGUGCCCUCUGGGUUUCAUGGCAUAUAUUUGUGAUUUUGUCUUCACUGUGUUCUUCAUUUUUCUUUAUUUUCGUGCUUAGCUGUGAUCCAGUUUUCCCGGAGUUUGAGCCAAUCUCAAGCAAUGAUUUUUGGGGAAUAGUUUUGUGCCUAGGUGAAUUUUAUCUGACCAAAAUUUGGGAGCGAUUUGUGAAGAUUUGAGUCGAAUUUCGUUGUUUGUUUUAGCCGCACCUUUUUCUGUUCUUGGAGCUCGGUCUCCUGUUCAUCCGUCCAACCAAUCAGGCUGCAAGUCACUUGAACCAAUGGGAGCUGGGCUUUGUACGUGAGUACCCAGGACCUUCGAGUCUUUAGCCAGCAACUCUGCAGUCCACUACUUUUUCUCUUCUGCUCGAUCUUGGUUCCUAUGUGUUCUAGAUUUACUUGGCGGCUAUUGACCCUAAGAAAACUUAUAUUUCCUUGGCCCUCUGGCAAAUUAAGUCUGGUCGUUGUUUUCUUGGCGGCCAGCCUCCAAGGAAGUCAUCCUUGAGUGUUAAAACUGUCAAGAAAACUAAUUUCCCUUAGCUUCUUCCCUUUCCUUGGCGGUUUUUGGCACUUAAGGCAAUUCAGGAUUGUGGCAGUGAAUAUUCUACUACCGUAUUAUCAGAAUGGAUUCUACAUUUUAUUUAUACAAGAUAUGCAAAACAAAAUAGUGCGCAUUAUGGAUCCACUACAAGAUCAACCAUGUAAGAAGGGUUAUAGUCAAAGUAUGGUAUACGAAUCUAUGCUCCAUAAUAUUGAUAGAAUGUUCAAUCUCGCCAUGGGACUAUCAAAAUCAAAGAGAAACUAUUGUAUAUAUUCAUGGAAGCGAGAAUACCCUGCAUACGUAACAAAGGUUCAAGUAAACACGACAGACUGGAACUUGGGAGGCUUCCUUGUAUACAAUUUCAUGAAGCUGCGGGACGGUGUGACAUUGCCAUCGAUCAACAAUCUAUCAACAUCACUGAGGACGGAGUUCUUGGCUGACAUCUUGACAAGUCGUGCAAACGAAUCUUAUGACAACAUCCCUGAAGAUAUUCAAUAUCCGAUCAAAAAGUUAGAGAAUAUGUAAAAAUUACUUCUUAUAUGCAUUGGUGACUCCAAUAUUGUAUACAGACUCAAAUACAAUUGUGCAAAGGUUAAACUCUUUCAAAAAAACUUUUCUUAGAAAAAA